AUGAUUUGUUCAUGUCAAAACUCUUACAUUAGUGUCUCAGUGCUUAAGAUGACCAACAUCACAGUUUGAUUAAUGAAAAAUUCUAAUGGAUUGGUCAUCAACCAAGAAAAAAGUGUAAAUGAAUGAACCAAUAUGAGUCCAAGUUUCUGAAUGAGACUCCUGUAUUUUGGGAGGUUUUGGAAAUUUGGUUUUUAUUCAUUUAAAUGCAUGUAUUGUCACAAAUCUCUAAGUUAGACAUGGAGGAUAAAAUAACGACUAAAACUAGCCCCUAGAAUCAGAGAAAAAAUAUAAAUAUUCAAUUCUUUUUCUGUUACUCAAGCUUUCCUGUUAAUUGGCUUAAUUUCAAAACAAAAAGGUUACAGGAGUUCUCAAACACAACAGGAUGAAAAUAAGAGCUUUGGAAAGUAUUAUAGUAACUUUAAAACACACCUUUUAAUUUCUUAUUAUCAAGAACAUGAACAGAUUGAUAUAUUAGUGCCAUUUUUCUUGUGUCAGUAUAAAAUUAUAACAUUACCAUUUACCAUUUAUAGGAAGGACAAAAUUGAGUUCAAACAUAGCCCUUUCUAAUUACUUGCUGUGUGAGCUUUACAGAACUUUUAAACUUUCUGUGUCCAUUUCUUUUGCCAGUACAGCUCUAAAUAUAUCAGUAAAGUUUCUCCAUGCUGUGAGUCAACGCUUAAGAUGGUUACUUCAUGUCAAAAAUCUUCACAUUAGCAUCUCAAUGCUUAAGAUAAUCAGUUUAUGUCAAAAAUCUUCCAUUAGUGUUUGGCUCAUACUAAUUUUUCAAGAAAUGUUAAACAUUAUUAUUAUCUGCAAACAAUUCUAGGCACCUUCUGCAAAUUCAAAGGUCUCCAUUUUUCUGUAAAUCAGCCGAUGCUUCUGUUUUGUAGAAUGAUCGAGUAGAAGUUUCCAUUUGUACAAGUUCAUAAAUCCAUAGUUCUAUUUCUAAAAUUCUAAAUGUUCUGGAAAAUGGAAGAUUUUCUUCGCUCAUCUGGUGGUAAAAUCUGACCCGAUAUGACCUGAACUCAUUUGGCAGCAAAACCCUAUCUGCACUAGUGAGAGUCUAUUCACCGUAUUUAUACAUCCCUUUGGUAUAAAUAUUAAUAUUUUGGUGAUGGAGUAUUGUUCUAGACCCUGCCAAUGUUGCCUUUUCAAUUUGAAAAAUUCUGUAUUCUGAGACACCCUGGCCACUAAAUUUCAGAUAAGAUUUUUUGGGCAGACAAUAUAGAAGAGAUUUCCAUCUAUGGUUCUCACAAACAAGAUUUAUUAAGCAAGGAUGUGAGUCUCUCCAAUAACAAACACGCUGAACCAAUCUGGUUUCCAGAUCUAAAAAAUAUGAAAUUUGCUUCCUCCACAACAUUCAUUAUCCAGAUUAAUCUUCUCUUCUACUUGUUCCUGUGCUAUAAUUUCCAAGGAACAUUUAUUUUGGUUGUGGGAACAUUUAUCAGGCUGUAAUAAUUCUCCCUCCCCCAGUCCUUUUAAAUAAUGUUUCCUAGCUCAUUUUUGUCCACAGUCAUACAAAUACGAUGUGUAGAACAGGCCAAAACACUCAAACAGUCGAGCAUAAGUAGUAUGUCUCCUCAACCCACUCUUGAUUGGUUUUGACCUAACCUGGGAUCGGUCAAGUGAAGAAGCUGGGGUCUUGCCAAGUGACUAAUCCCAUUUUGUCCCAUGCACACAUCUUGUUAUGCAUGAACUACUGGUUGGAGGGACUGUCUGGUCUUCAGGCAAUUUAUGUUUUGUUCUUUUUUUUUCAGGAAGUGGAGAGCAGAUCACAAUCUAAAAGGCCUAUUCAUGUUUACUACUCAAGAUUUCCUGAGAUGACUAGGAGAAAAUUUUGUCUGGGUCUCCUUACUCGUGAAAGUUCAAGUCUUUCCAUGCAUUUUAAAAUUCCUCAAAUAAUCUCCACAUUAGCCACUAAUGAUAACUGUCCUUGAAAAUUGAAUGUACUUUUAAUUUCUAUUAGAAAGCAACAGUAUAGAUAAAACUGAACCUGAAAAUCUUGUUUGAGGUUAUUCAGAUCAUUUUCCUUCUCUUUUAUGGUCAGGAAUGCCUCAAGAUACAGAACUACUUAAUUAUUAAGAUGGCCACCAGUAAAGAGGUAAGUGUGGGUUUAUCACAGAUGUUAAUCUGAACAAGUGGAACAUUCCAACCCCAGGGAAGUAAAAACACAACUUUUGAAGUAUAUGAUAAAGUGACAUUGUUACCGGCCACUUAGGUUCAAAGGCUCAGACUCUUUUGCUGGCCCCUGACCAAAUCAAAUUAGACUAUUUAAGUAAAAAGGAAAAAGGAUUUUUUCCAAAACUGGCUCCAAAGAGAUGGAGGAGCCCAAUAGCUCAGGGGGAGAGGGAGCACAGAGAGAGGAUGUAGCUCCCCAUUCCUGCUUCAUCACUUUCAGCCACCAUCAGCUCACUGCCUCUUUGCGUGUGGGAAGGAAACUCAACUCCAGGCCUACCUCUUGGGCAUCUGUAUGUUCUCUCAUUUCUUUUGGACUGAGGAGCAGAGCGCGUUUUGAAUAUGUGCUCCUUGGGAGAAACUUUGGAGAAGUUGCUUAUCUUUAAAAGAAAAAAGCCUAACUUUCAAAAUUCUGUUUUGCAAUGACAGUUAUAGCAUCUGUAUUUGAAUUCUCCGGACUUCGGUUUCUAGUUCUGGAAAACAGGUAUCACAACAUUUACCUUUGCAGACUUAAUCCAUGUCAUGAUUAAAAUGCGUUGAGCUGGAAUUCAGACUCAUAUUGUUUGCAUAACCAAAAUGACCGAUCUCCUAGAAUUACUGUCUCUAGAAAAUAACAUUUAAAACAAAACAAGUACUCUGCUGGGGGUAACAUCAGCUGAUGACUGAUGUGGUAUGGCAAACUUUGAACAGUUUAACUUUUGAUGAUUGCACAGAGGCAGAAGAUCUGGACAUGAAAAAUUGGCCAGGCAAGUAGAUGUGACCUGUCAUUCACAGAUGUCCCCAGCCUCGCACCUGGGACCAAUCAGAGAGCUUGUGAGAACUCAGCAGGCUUUUGAUAGGACAGCCUAGAUCUGACACUGGCUGAGUAGUAGGAGAUACAAAAGAUGACCACCAUUAAGUUCUUGUCCACUAUACUCUCUCCCAGUCCUUUGCUCUCUUCUAGUAAAGGGUACUUUUCCCUUCUGCUUUGUUUUCUUCCCUCUCCUGCUUCCAUAGGAAUACCUCCACUUCCCCUGUUCCUUCUCCCUCAGGAUGGGCUUUCCUCUGUUGGAGGACUCAAGUUCUUUAACUUGUUUUUCUAGCAUUGAUUGUUGGAUAGAAGCAGGGAAUGAGGUCAUAAAGUUUAACAGAAGUUGGGGAACUCAGGAAGCUUUCUUAUGGUGCUCACAACAGUCUCCUAAUGAGCCCCAUCUAUCUCUCUGGGGGAUGUGUAUGCCAAAACCCUCAUCUCCCACUCUGAUGAAGACUGAAGGUACACAAGGCAACCUACCAUGGCCCUGGCAGAAAUCAUGAGUGACCCUGAAAAUCAUAAAACUAAGAAUCUACUCCUCCAAACCUCUUUAAAACCUAAGGUCUCUCUUCAAAAUGUAAGACUACAGUUCUGCUCUGAGUACAGAUAAGUAGAGUCACUAAUAACCCUAACCCACCAAAGCUUAAAUAGGCACUAUAUUAGAAUUUCUGUUUUUAAUUAGAUCCAUAAAAAAUGUGGGCAGGGAAAUCUUGUUAGGGCUAUGACUCUCAGGCACUUGCAAAUUAAUAGCCUUCUUACGUUUCCCAAAGGAAGUGUGAGAAAUGUGACCUGUUCCAUCUCAUAUUUGGACUCUACAUUUCCCACCUAAUAGUAAAAUUGGGAAUUCAUCAAUUUUUCCUGACAAAUUCACCUACCUUUCUCUCAUUGAACAGUCACCUCAGUGGUCCUUCAAAUGUAACUCUUUUCUUACUGACUUCUGAUGGGUUUUUUUUUUUUUCAAGUCAACUAGGGAAGUACAGACAUCCCAAGGUAGUUGGUAAGCACCUAACCAGAAGAUAGAGCUUACAGUGUCUCUUUUUUUCAGAGGAAGUAGCUGUAUAAUGACAUAAGCCUCGACACCUUCAGCUUUCAUAAAGAAUUGUGGGGGUUUAUGCUCUCCAGAGGAAAUAGGGCAGGAGAUUAGAGUGCAGAAAAGUGGCUGAGCAAGUGUGUGCGACCUGCCAAUCGUUGAAGAUCCAGGACGUGCACCCUAAACCUGCACCCGAGGCCAAUCACAGAAUGCUGUAUGUGAUUCUUCUUGAGUUUAAGCUCAAGCAGGUUUUUGGUAGGAUGGGAUUGCUGAAUCUACGAUCAGCCUGAGGAGUGGAGAAUACAAAAUGGCCGCCACUGAGCUCUUGCCCAGUGUGCUUUUUCUUUCACAGUGCUCCACUCUCACUUUGUAGAGUAUAUUUCAUUUUUUACUUUAAAUUGGCCUUUGUAUGUUUCUUUUCCUACCUUUAAGGACUGUAGCACCUUGCCAACUUUUGUGCUUGUUUUGUCUAAUCCUCUAUUGAGGACAAGAAGAAGCUAGAAAGAAUCUCUUGAAAGAGUUCCUGAUACUUCAGGACCCAGUAAUAGGGUCAGCUGUUGAUGAGGGCUGCCCGUGGAACACAGCUGCAGGAUUAUAGUAAGAGACCAAUGUCCUAAUUAAUAUGCUGGCCAAUGGGCCAAUCUGAAGCGGGUUCUCCCACAGUUAUAUGUGACCCACACAACCACACAGUCCACACUUUAGAAGUCUCAUCAGAAACAUCAUGGCAGUUCUUUGGGAACUGAGACGAGGAAAAUCCAGAGCAGAAAUAGUCUAGUUCCUUCAAAAAGCUCCUUAAUAGAGCACAGAAUGUCUCAGGAAUCCUGGAUGUAUAGAAUAUGAUAGCUUCAAUGGGCUCUUUCUUAUCACAAGAGAUCUGAUCCCUUGCUGAGAAAUCUCCCAGAGGGAAGAGCUCCCAGUGUUCUGUGACACCUGUAAAUGCAAAAUGUUGGUUUCCUAGGAGACUUCUGAUUCCAAAUCUCUCUGGUAUAGCUGGGCAUGAUGGUGCAUGCCAUCAUGUAAUCCUAGCACUCAGGAGACUGAGGCAGAAGGAUCACUUUGCGAGUUUGAGGCCAGGCUGGGAUUCACAGUGAGUUCAAGGCCAGCCUGAACUACACUGUGAGACUCUGUAUCAGAAAACAAGCAAGCAAACAAACAAACACCCAAAUCUCUUUGAUAUCAUCUCUAAACAUCACAUUUAAACAAAAUGUAAAGUCCAAUUUUUACCCUAAAUCCAGAAACCUGUUCUCAGUGGAGAUAAGAGAAAAACAGCUGUUUGACCCAUUGCACAAUACUGACGAGAAUCCACAAGGUAUGCCUUUGAUAGAGGCUAUUAGAAAAGUGGCCCAAGGCCAGUUCUGUUAGAAAGUAGCAUUUCUUCAUUUGAUGUCACCUGUCAACAGAUUUUGUUUUUGAGAAGAGGAGAAGAAAACUGAGUGUAGGGUACAACUGCAGUGACUCGUUUUGAACAUAAAACAGUUACUGUGACUUUGAUUAUCUGAAGACUCAUUUCCUAAUACUGAUAUGUAAAAAGCUGGCUAGGGUAUUUCCUUCCCUCUUCAAUUGGCUCUAAGCAUUGCAAAUAAGGCUAAUGGAGGUGAUGGUGUGUAAUUUCUAAAGCCAACAGACAGUCCUGUUUCCUCACAAUUGUUCUCUGUAUAUACAGGGCAUGAGCAGGGAGACGUUAGAGCAAAUAGCUCCAGGAAUGUCAGCUGGGUAAGAGCCUCAAGAUAAAAACGCUAUGACUCUCCAGGGCACAAGAGUUUGUAUAUCAAAAAUGGAAGUGACAGCCCCCCAAAAUAAUUCCAUUAUUACCUUAAUUGGAUUAUGUAAAUUGAUCCUUCUGCAUAUCUUUAUCUCUGCAAUUUACAGAGAUGCCAAUCUUGCACCUGGCCAGCCAGCUCAAGUUACAGAAUUCCCCUCAUCUUCACUAUCACUCAUCCCUGAGUCACCCCCACCUUCUUCACAAGAUAAUAAAUUCUGGGACAGACCUAGGAUCGAGGCCUUUGUCCUCAUGCCCUCACAAGGAUUGGACUCAGGACCCCUUGGCUGCCCUUAACUUGGAACAUGUCUUGGUGUCUUUACUCUCACUAUGGGUUGCUCUGGUGGUGGUAGAUUGGAAUUAACUUGCUGGGAUUCCAAUAACAUCUUAAUGGGACUACAAAUACAACUUUUUGGAUUGUGAGGAAAACUAGAAAGAGGAUUACAAUACUUGGAUGACUGAACUCCAUAUUUGGGUUUUCAAUAAUUGAGUAUAGGACUUGUUAUGGUUGACACAUCGUGUUAACUGAAAAAGUGCCUUGAAGUGCCCAUCCUAUGCCGUGCCACCCUGUCUUGGAGCCAGCUGAUCAGAGACUGAGACCUCCAAAAACUGUAAGCUACAUAAACCUUUCUUUCCUUCGUUUUGGAUGUUGGGUGUUUUAUCCCAACAGUGAGAGAAAAGCAACUAAGACAAGAUUUAAAAGAAUUAAGUGGCUAACGAGCUCCAAAAAGGACUUAAAAUAAAGCAAAAGACAGAGAAUUUCAGCAUUAAAUUUUGUUUUCUCAAUCUCACUGUGUGUUGUUCUCCCUGGUGUGGACUUAAAGGAAAAAAUAUUUUUCAUGUAAAUCUAUUUCUACCAGUAAAUGCAUAUGAGUUGUAGAACGAACCAGCUGGUGUUCCUGGGUGAAUACCGUAUAUAUUGUUUUAACUUUAAAUGAUCAGAAGGGAUGCACGACAGGUCAACUUCUAAGUUUAUAUAGGCAAAAGAUAAUUUCUCCAAAAUCCUGAGAGCAUCCUGGGUGGUUACAGGAGUGAGCCACUUAGGCUCAAGCUCCUUUGUUCAACCUUCAUCAGAUUAAGGUAGGCCACAUAUUGGGUAAGAAGGAUUUAUUUAAAGAUGACUCCAAGGAGACAGAAUAGCAUAUAACUCUUGAUCACCAGCUCACUAAGUUCAGGUCUGUUGGGGUCUUUUAUAAUAAAGAACAGUGUGGGAGGGCCUACACUGGAACCAUACACAUUUUCAGGUGAGUUACUGAAAGGUUCCUGCCCUAGUAUAAAUUACUGUACAAUUAUGGCGGUGUUCUAACAUGACGGAAGGCCAAAGUAGAAACGCUUACCACUUCUUUCUCCUUCAUCCCUAACUGCAACUCCCUUUCCUUUUUGGGCACAAAGAAAAUUCCAAUAAUUUCCUCACGCAUCAUUAAUGUCCUCUCCAUGCCUGACUUCUGAUCAGGGGUCCCCUCUGCCUCUCUGUAUCAGGUCGAUGGAGAUAGCCCAACUGUCAUGGUUGUGUGCUCCUUUCCACGUCCUCCAUAAACCUGUUCUUUUCUUUUCUUUUUACUUUUUUCUUCUCUAUUGCACCAGAAAACUAACAGCUACAUCCUUUCCUAAAAUCAGACUUCCUUCACCCUUACCGAAGGGAAUGCCAGAUGUCAAGAUCUGGGCAGAGGGGAUAUGAGGGAGACAUUAUGCCCUACACCUGAGGAAAUCUGGAAGCCACUUGACUCCAAAGGAAAAAAAUUUAACUUUCACAGUUCCAUUUUGCAGUGCUGGUUACAUAUGGAUGUUGUGGAACUUUAAAAUUAAAGACACCAAUCUCUAUUGUAGGAUCUGAUGAUGGGACUGAAUGUGAUGGGACAUUUGGAGAAGUAUUUUAAGAGUUUUUAUUGUGCUAUAAUUAGCUUGAAGGUCACAUUUUACACAAAAGUAAAUAUCUCAGUUGACUAAUCUAAAUUAGUCUUCAGGAAAGGAAAUAUGUUUCUCUCUCACAGCAGCCAUUUCCAAACAACCUCCAAGACCUAUUCCCCAUGGGUUAUACUUUGGCAGGACACUGCUGCUGUCCUGUGUGUGGGGUCAUGUGAAAUGCUGUGAUCUGGACAGUCAGUGGUCCUCCCUCACUGAUGAAUGCCACCUUCCUUAUGACUUCUGCAUGGGAAAAGAAAUGCUCAUGUUUAUUGCAGAAUAGAAACAACGGGAAUGUUUGCAGAAAUUAUGUGACCAACAACUAUUUGGACUCCUGUAUAUUUAGUCAGUUCUGAAAAACGACUAGUUUAACACUCAUAGCCUGUUUUUCUAUGGAUUUUCCUAGUAUAUAUCCAACCAUUGAUAAGUAUCACUGGAAGCUUCCGUUAGUACACUACGCUUGUUCAAUGACUAAGUUAGGGUUCUGCAACUGGAUCAUUAAUGCAUUGGUGGCUAAAAGAGGAAUCGCAUAUAUUAUGUACAUUACAAUAUUCAGAAGAAAGAAAUGGUCAAAGGAAAUUCAAACUUGAUGAGUUUGUUUCUAUUUACAUAACUCUUACAUGCUAUAUUGUAAUGUAUAACAGAACAUAAAACUAUAAUACUAUACUAUACAGUGCAAUCAGCAAAGAAUAUAAUACUAUAUGAACAAAGUAUACUGCACAAAAGAUUGAAAUAGACACUGAACUAUAAUGGCUAAAAAUUAUGAUAUGCAAAAAAUUAUUAAAGGUAAAUCACUUAGAAUAAAUUUAUAAUUCAAAUCUGAGAUUUUAGCCAAGAUGAAAUGCCACUUUUUUCUAAAACAGAAAACUCAAAAAAGUUGUAGAACGUUAAAUAUUCUCUUAUUUGUACCUCUUUAAAAGGAUUAAGAUGACUCCUAACUUAUAGAUUUACAGGGCUUUUUUCAUUGUUCUGAUUCCUUUAAUAAAUGGUAAGUCAGAUAUUUUCAAGCUCAAAAGAGACAUCAUAUUUUUAAAAAGCAGUAGGAGCAUUAAGGAUACAGUGACUGUGCUCAGCAUGCAUAUGUUAAGGCCCAAGGUUCAGUCCCACCCCAACUGAUUUUUUGUCAACCACAAUGAGAUAAUAUUUCAUAGCCAGAAAAGGAAACAAAGCGCAAACAAACAAACAAAUAAACAACAACAAAAAAACCCCAAAACAAACCAAAGGAAAAAAAAAAAGAAGAAAAGAAAGAAAACACACAGAAAAGCAAAAGAAAACUACAAAAAAUCUCACAAAAAUCUUUCAAGAUACCAAAUAUUGGCAAGGAUGUAAAAAUUUAGAAUACUAUAAAUUGUUAGUGUGUAUGUAAACUGGUACAGUUUCUGUGAAAACAGUGUGAUAUUUCCUCAAAAAAUAAACAUAGAAUUAUCAUGUGACCCAGUAAUUUCAUUUUCAGAUAUAAACUUGAAAGAAUCAAAGGACUUUAACAAAUAUUUGUACACCAAGACUUAUAGCAGAGCUACUGACAACAACCAAAACAAUCCUAAUGCCCUUAGAGAGAUAGAGAUUUAAACAGAAUACUCGGCUUUCAGAAAUUAUAGUGCAAUAGCUUUGCAUACUAAAACAUGUUGGAACCUUGACAUUAUAGAAAGCGAAACAGCCAAACACAAAAGCACAACUAUUGUGUGAUUCCACUUGUAGGAGAUAUCUGGAAUGGACAGACUCAGGGACAGAAAGGACAGCAGCAGUUUCCUGGAGAGGGCACAGCAGUUACACAAGAUAUGAAUGCACUUGAUGGCUCACUUGAAAAUGGUAAAGUCAAUAGUAUGAAUAUUUAACCACAAUAAAAUUUUUUUUUUUAAGAUGUGGGCUUUUUUAAUCAUUUAAAUCUGACAUACCCUUAACAUGAUACAAGUUUUCUACCUGCACUUGGAUUUGUCCUUAGGAAUUAUCUUUCUCCUCUGUUGGCUGCUUGGAAUACAUUACUUAAUUUCUUUAGCUUUCAAUUUUCCCUUCCACGAAACAAAAGAGUGGGACUGAGUAAUCUCUGGCUCUUGUUGAACUGCUAUUAUCACUGUGGAUAAUUAAAUGGAAAAUAUUAAAGCAUUAUUCUACUUCAAA